CAAAAGGAAGGUUGGGAUUGAUUUUGGGAGUUUUGGUCCCAACAGUUUAGGAAUUAGUGGCCAAAAAAAGGUCCCAAAUAAGUAUUUUUCUUGGUUUUUGCACAAUAACUUUAGUAUAAGUAAAUAGAAAUCUAUGAAAUUUUAUCACAAGGUUUAUGGCCACAAAAGGAAGGUUGGGAUUGAUUUUGGGAGUUUUGGUCCCAACAGUUUAGGAAUUAGAAGCCAAAAUGGUUCCAAAUUAAACAUUGUUUGAUUUCAUCAAAAAUUGAACUAUCGGGGUUCUUUAAUAUGCCAAAUCUAACCGUGUAUUUAGAUUCUUAAUUUUUGGUCCCGUUUUCAAAUUGGUCUACAUUAAGGUCCAAAGGGGCUAAAAUUAAACUUAGUUUGAUUUUAACAAAAAUUGAAUUCUUGGGGUUCUUUGAUAUGCUGAAUCUAAACAUGUACUUAGUUUUUAUACAACCCCAAAAAAAUUUUGGGAUCGUAUAAUGGUAUGAUGUCGUCGUCCGAAGACACAUUGGUUUCCGGAUAAUAACUUUAGUUUAAGUGAAUAGAUCUUCAUGAAAUUUUUUCAGAAGGUUCAAUACCACAAAAGGAAGGUUGGGAUUGAUUUUGGGGCUGAUGGUCCCAACCGAUUAGGAAUUAGGGGCCCAAAACAAGCAUUUUUCUAGUUUCAGGAUAAUAACUUGUGUAGAAUUAUUUCAAUUGCUCUGAAAUCAUACCGCAAUGUAUAAAACCACAAGUAGAAGGUUUGGAUUCAUUUCAGGGGUUAUGGGGCCAAAGUUUAGGAAUUAAGGGCCAAAAAGGGGUCAAAACAAGCAUUUUUCUAGUUUCAAGACAAUAACUUGUGUGUAAUUGUAUGGAUCUCUCUGAAAUUGUACCACAAUGUACCAAAUAACAAAGGGGAGGCUGGGAUUAAGUUUUGGGUUAAUUGCCCAAAAUAUGUAGGAAUUCGGGGCCAAAAAAGGGCCAAAAAGAAGCAUGUUUCUUAAGUUUCCAAACAAUCAUGACAAUAACUGGUGUUUAAGUGUAUGGAUCUCUCUGAAAUUGUACUACAAGGUUCAAUACUGCAAUGGAAAGCAUGGGAUUGAGUUCAAGGGUUAUUGCCCCAAGGGGGUUUCAAAAAGUUGGGGG
rnacentral:lncRNA from 1 species